GGUACAACCCUCCGAAAGGGGGGCUGAUACCGCGUACAUCCCCUGGGGGCAUCCCCGGGGGAGGAAAGCCCUUUUGGGCGGGCGGGGAUGGGCAUGCGGCGCAUUAGGAAGACGGCGGUGUGACGGACCACCGUUCCGACGAUGCGUAGGGGUUCUGAGAGGAAGGCCCCCCACACUGGUACUGAGACACGGACCAGACUCCUACGGGAGGCAGCAGUGAGGAAUAUUGGUCAAUGGCCGGAAGGCUGAACCAGCCAAGCCGCGUGAGGGAGGAAGGCGCAGAGCGUCGCAGACCUCUUUUGCCGGGGGACGAAAGGCCGGACUCGUCCGGUCCUGAGGGUACCCGGAGAAAAAGCAUCGGCUAACUCCGUGCCAGCAGCCGCGGUAAUACGGAGGAUGCGAGCGUUAUCCGGAUUCAUUGGGUUUAAAGGGUGCGCAGGCGGGCCUUUAAGCCGGCGGUGAAAUCGCGGGGCUCAACCCCGCCGAGCCGUCGGAACUGGGGGCCUUGAGUGCGGCGGAGGCAUGCGGAAUGCGCGGUGUAGCGGUGAAAUGCAUAGAUAUCGCGCAGAACCCCGAUUGCGAAGGCAGCGUGCCGUGCCGCCACUGACGCUGAGGCACGAAAGCGCGGGGAUCGAACAAGAUUAGAUACCCUGGUAGUCCGCGCCGUAAACGAU
rnacentral:rRNA from 1 species